rfam:Oryza punctata chromosome 3, whole genome shotgun sequence.
AAAGAUGGUAGAUUUAUACUGUUUAUGUUCAACGUUUGACCAUCCGUCUCAUUUAAAAAAAUUAUGAUUAGUAUUUUUAUUAUUAUUAGAUGAUAAAACAUGCAUAGUACUUUAUGUGUGACUAAUUUUUUAAAAAUUUUUCACAAAUUUUCCAAAUAAGACAAACGGUCAAACGUUGGAUACGGAAACCCACAACUGCACUUAAA